rnacentral:rRNA from 1 species
AUUGAACGCUGGCGGAAUGCUUUACACAUGCAAGUCGGACGGCAGCACGGACUUCGGUCUGGUGGCGAGUGGCGAACGGGUGAGUAAUGUAUCGGAACGUGCCCAGUCGUGGGGGAUAACGUAGUGAAAAUUACGCUAAUACCGCAUACGAUCUAUGGAUGAAAGCGGGGGAUCGCAAGACCUCGCGCGAUUGGAGCGGCCGAUAUCAGAUUAGGUAGUUGGUGGGGUAAAGGCCCACCAAGCCAACGAUCUGUAGCUGGUCUGAGAGGACGACCAGCCACACUGGAACUGAGACACGGUCCAGACUCCUACGGGAGGCAGCAGUGGGGAAUUUUGGACAAUGGGCGAAAGCCUGAUCCAGCCAUUCCGCGUGCAGGAUGAAGGCCCUCGGGUUGUAAACUGCUUUUGUACAGAACGAAAAGGUUUCUACUAAUACUAGGAGCUCAUGACGGUACUGUAAGAAUAAGCACCGGCUAACUACGUGCCAGCAGCCGCGGUAA